UCCAGUGACGAUAGCGAAGAGGUCACACCCGUUCCCAUGCCGAACACGGAAGUUAAGCUCUUCAGCGCCGAUGGUAGUUGGGGGCUCUCCCCCUGUGAGAGUAGGACGUCGCUGGGC
rnacentral:rRNA from 1 species